rnacentral:RNase_P_RNA from 1 species
CGACAAGUGUGGUCUGUUGAUUUCCGCUUCGGCGGAGGUAGGAAAGUCCGGACACCACAGAGCAGCAUAGCGGGUAACGCCCGCCAUCCGCCAAAAUCGGAUAGGACCAGUGCAACAGAAAGCAAGUACAGUUCGGCUGUAGUGAAAUCAGGUAAACUCUAUGCGGUGCAAUGCUAAGUAUAUCGGCAACUAAGGGCGGCUCGUCCAAUGUCGAGGGGUAAGCAGCUUAAGUUUUGUAGUAAUACAAAAUUCAGAUAAAUAACAGACAUCUCGUUGCUUGCAACGGGAAACAGAAUCCGGCUUAUAGCACUUGUCGUUUU